UUUUGGUGGAGGGAAGAAGGGAGGAAGGAAAGGGGGAGAAUCCAAGGUGAUUUUUGUGUUCAUCCCUUGUUCAUUUGCGCUGCAAUUCAAUUGAUUAGAGGUUGCGUUUGCGAUUGGGUAGAGGGGGCUGUCCAGAAUUUUAGGUGGUGGAUGAACAGCAGUAGUUCUAGCAGUUUCUGGUUGUUUUUCGUGAGAAAUUAAUGGAAAUCAGUUUGGGGAUCAUGUAGAACUUUGUCUUACCUUUCCAACAAGUAUUUAUGCGCUCAAUUUGGAGUUAUAAAUUGAAAGUUAUCACCGUUUGAAUCCGGGUAUGUGGCUGUCCAAAAAACAGAUUUUCAGGGGGGAUGAACAGCAGCAGUAUUAGCAGUUUCUGGGGAUUUUUCGGGAGUAAUUAGUGUUAAUCAGUAUAAGAAUCAUGAUGGGCUCUUUCUUAUCUUUCCAACAAGUACUUAUGCGCUUGAUUCGGAAUUAUAUUUUAAAAGUUAUCGCUGUUUGAAUCCGAGUAUGUCGCUGCCCAAAACAGGAAAAACAGAUUGCAGGGUUUAUUUUGGGGACCGUUUAGGGGUAAUUAGAUGUUAGAAUUUAAUCAUAAAUUGUAUACAAAACUUGUGGGGAAUUUUAUGUAGUUGUCUCUGGAGUUUUUGUUAGACACCGCUGCUGUCUUAAUUUUAGAGUUAUGGAAUUGUUAAGCAGCGCCGCUGCAGUUUGGUUGGUGUGGGGAGAAUUGUUACCCGCGGCGGGGUUUGAGAUUGCGCGUAGGUGCGGCGUUGUUUUGAGGCUUUUUAUGUGAAUUUGGUGCACUAAGUUGGGUGUCAAAAACAGGUGGUGGACUUCCGGAUCGUUCUUAGGGAUUUGCCCAAACUUCCGGUGAAGCCAAGUAAAACUGUGAUGGUUAUUCCGUCUGUCAGAUGAGGAGUCUUAUACUUGAUUAUGUUGUGCUAUUGUGUUCAUAUUCAUAUUUUCUUUUGAGUACCAUCAUUUGAAAAUGUUCAUGUUUCAUGGAUUUCAUAUGUUGAGUUUGAGGUUGAUUAUGUUACUCAAGUGGUUAUUAUGUGGAAUGGGUGGAAGUAAAUGUCUAGCACAUUUUUAUUUGGGAAGAACUCAUGAUGUUGUCAUGCAUAAUGCACUCAUCAUCCAUUGCAUUGAAGUUUCGUCGCGAUCUUAUGGUCCGAUCGUACCGGUACAUUGAGCAUCAUAUGUUGCCCGAGAAGGGGUAUGGUGCAGCUUCAUAUCCUUAGAGAUAUGGAGGCAGAAGUCAUUAUUGCAUUUGUAGCCAUGUGCAUUCCUGGGAGAGGUGUGGAAUCUAUUAUGUGGAUGUGGAUAAUUUUGGACUUAUGCAUGGUGAUUGUAACGCCCCGAAUUUUGCAGUUGAAUUUUUUUCUUUUCUUUACUCGCCAAAAUUCGGGCGUUACCUUUUCCUUUUCUUUUUCCCUCCGCUAAACCUUGACCUUUUCCAAAGUUCUAAGCGGGAUUCGGUUUGGAAUUCCCGUGUAAGAAAAAACCCUAAAUACUUUAUGUUGUUUGAUGCACCAUGCCGAACCUUGCAUUUCUUUUGAUUGCUUUGAAAGCGCAAUUGCAUUCAUGUAGAAAGAUCGGAUUUCGAAAAUGUGGAGAAGAUCUUUUCUUUCUUUUUUUCUCCCUCUCUUUUUCUCUCCUCUUUUUCUCUCUCUCCCGCGCCGUGGGCCGACCCCGGCCGGCCCAGGCCCCUGCGCGCCCCCCCCUUGGGCCCAAUAGGCCCAGCCGCCCCCCCUCUUUCCCUUAUUCCCUAACCCUCUCCCUCUCCCCCCUCAUUUUCUCCCUCCCCACCUAAGCCGCCGCCCCCUACCCCCUACCCGCCCCCUGCCCUAGGUCGCCGCGCCGCCCCCUGCCGCCGGCCGCCCCUCGCCGUCGAUCCCCGACACCGGUGAGCCCCCCUCCUCCCUCUCUCCCUCCUCCCUCUCUCCCCUCCCCUCCCCCCUCCCUGCCCGGCCAAGGCCCGACCGCCCCCUGUCCGCGCCGGCCGUCCCCCGCCCCGCCGUGGCCUGUGGCCGCCCGCUCGGCCGCCCAGCCCGACCCCCCCCGCGCCCGCCUGGCCGCCGGUUCAACCGGCCGGCUCAGCGGCUCAGCCGCCCGGCCAGCCCCGCCCGCGCCCGCGCCCCGCCUAGGGCCGGUUCAACCGCCCUAGGGCCGGUUCAACCGCCCCCCCCUUCUGUUUUUUUAUUUUUUUUUAUUUUAUUUUAUUUACUUUCUGUGAUCAUGAUUACUGUAUUUUAAGUAGGCUAAUCACUGUUCAUGCUAUGGGAAAAUAGGAAGUUUAAUUUAAAAUUCCGUUGUGUUAUUGAUUCACGUAGUUAAUUGUUUACCCUGUGCAAUGUUGAUCAACUAAAAGUGAUUAGGUUUCCAUCAGUAUAUAUAAAUAUAUAUAACAGAAUUAUGUUGUUAAAAACCAAUUGUGUCAUUAGUGCAUAAGAUUUAACCCCCCUGCGAGACCUUUCCCGUUUCUUUCUAACCAUAACAAAUGCGUUAUCGAAUGUCAUAUUUGAUGCAUAUUCGCUUUAUUUGUUAUCUUGUAUGGUGUACUGUUCUUUUGUAUUGAAUAUGUGGAUGUAUGUAUGUAUGUUUGCGCUCGCAUAGAGAACGAUCCGGUCGAAGAGCCCAAGGAAUUCGCAGGAGAAGCCCCUGAGCAGCAGUCGUUUGGUGGAGGCAAGUGUCCUUUGACCUAUCUCUGUCCUAUUCAUUCUUUAAUUCACCUCCCGCAUUACACAUUUAUACCUAAGGAUUGACUAGCUUUUGUUAUCCAUGUCCUUGUUUACCUAUUUGGGUUGGAUUAUUACUGUUUAGCUUUAUGCUAUUGCUCAACUCUAAUCAAUGAACAUGAUGAGAUUAUCUAUGAUACGCUGUUUUCCCUUCUCUUAUUAUGAUGUUGUACUUGUGGUUUUCAAGGGGACUCGAGCGGUUUCUCGAGUGCCUCUCCGUAAGGACCUGUUCUAUGGAUGACCGCCCGGGAAAACAGUGCAACCAUGAGGGUGGAAUGGGGUGCCCUUAGCUGAAUAAUUAGAGGAUCCGGGGUGUAGUUCACUUAGCCGUCGUGCCGUCAAUGGGGCUCGGUGUAUGCGGCUCGCUCUGCCAAGUUUGGGUUCGCCCCUUGGGGAGGAGUGCGGUGCAUUUAGGAAACCUAACGGGUGGCUACAGCCCCGGGGAAUCUUUGUAAAGGCUACGUAGUGAAACCCUGCCUAUUCACCUUGGUAGUGUUUAAGGGUUUGAUCGGCCCGAGGCAAGAGGGAAUCACGGCUUGUGGGUAAAGUGCACAACCUCUGCAGAGUGUUAUGAAACUGAUAUAUCAGCCGUGCUCGCGGUUAUGAGCGGCCAAGGGAGCUCCAGUGAUUAGUGGUACUUGAUCAGAGACAUUGUGGUACAGGUGGUUAUGAGAUUGAUGGUUUUGGUUAUGACUAUGGUGCUGGUAAGUGGUAUUCUUUCCGUUUGGAAAGGGUACAUCGGGUUAAUAACUUGGGUUAAUGCUAAAACUUGGCUUUCUACUAGUAAAUAAUAACCUGACCAACUAAAAGCAACUGCUUGACUUAUCCCCACAUAAAGCUAGUCCACUACAGCCAAACAGGAUACUUGCUGAGUAUGUUGAUGUGUACUCACCCUUGCUCUACACACCAAACCCCCCCCAGGUUGUCAGCAUUGCAACCACUGCUCAGGCGAAGAUGAAGCUGUGGAAGGAGACUUCCAGGAGUUCCAAGAUUACGACGAGUUCUAGGUGUGGGUUAGCGGCAACCCCCAGUCGGCUGCCUGUGAAGGCCGCGUUAUCUACGUUUCUUUUCCGCACUUUGAUUUAUUGUAAGAACUAUAUGGACGUCUCAGACGUAUGAUGUAAUCGACUAUUCCCCUUAUUAAUACUAUUUUGAGCACUGUGUGAUGAUGUCCAUAUUAUGUAACUGCUGUGUACGUGAAUAACUGAUCCUGGCACGUACAUGGUUCGCAUUCGGUUUGCCUUCUAAAACCGGGUGUGACAUAAGUGGUAUCAAAGCCGUGCUGACUGUAGGACCGCUAACCUAGAGUAGAAUGGUCGUUCUAAGGAUUAUAGACCUCUGUCCCUACCUUGACUUUGAUAUCUCUUCAAAAGUUGGUCCUACCGACCAAACCUAUGUUCUACUAUAUAUAAUACCUUGCUAAAAAAAAAUUGUGUUUCAUUCUAAUCCUUCAUUUACUUAUUACUUGCUGGUCAUAUUAAUUCUGUUCUCACCCUUUUGCUUGCGAUGUCUUUUGUAGAUGGCUCGACUUAGACACACUGCACGAAAGUCAGUCAUCCCCUUCUUACCCUCCCGCCUUGCUGAGCGUCCGCUUCGCCGUCCCGUGGCCGGACAGUCCAGCCACUUGGAGAGACUACACCACCGCCUGCGUGAGGAGCAGGAGCGUCGACGACAGGAGCAGCAGAGCUCUUCCCUCUCGCUCCACCAGGAGAUAGAGUCUGUGAGGAGCUGCUCCCCUGUGCUUCCUCUGGAGCCGCCCCCUGCACCACCACUGGGCGCCCCAGCCUCUGGAGUAGCUGCUGGAGGAGACCCAGACGACGGAGGAGGCGACGACAGCUCGAGCCACGACACCGACUUCUCUGCUAACCCUGAGCCGGAAGGAUGGGUUGCUCGACCCAUCACUCGCGACGCUGCUCGCGGGUGUCACUUCCACGAUGCGCUCGACACCCUGCUACGUCGGGCAUUUGACCGGCAUACUUGGUCCGUCGAGUAUCGCUGUGUGGUCUACCAGCAUAGUCACGGGGUCUACCCGGACCGCUGGGAGGCUACUUGCUUGGUGCGCUGCCCGGAGGACAGUCUCCAGGGUGCAGAGGCCUGUUCAGAGCACUAUUCUAUCUCUGAGCGGGACUCAGCUGAGGCAGCCAUGCAAGAUGCUGCACGGCGUGCGCUUUCGCACUACUGCUCGGUUUUCGGUGGGGCAGCUGACGGUCUUGACCUGAAGUAUUACCCCCGCCGUCCAUCUGGCAGCACAGGAGGCGUGAUUGUCUCACCUGUCGGUGAGGGCAAUCCUAGGUUGAGCAGCACAGUCAACCUAGCCGCCGUGCUAAACACGGAGCUGGACCAUGCAUUAGACGAGCUGAGUAGGGCUCGUGCUGAGAUCGCCCUGCUGCGGGCUGAGCGCGCGGAGCGUCGUCACCUGGAUGGUGGUUCCCCCGCUCCCGUUGGGACUCAGCACCCGUACCGCUCACCUCAGCGUGGACACCAGUCUUAUGGCAAUCCCGACUGCAAGACCAAGAUAACUCUAGAACCAUAGAUCGUUAGAGUUGAAUCUUGUAAUUAAUACGAAAUAUAUACAUAGAAGCUUCAGUCUUAGCGUUAGUCUCGGUCUUAGUUAGUCUUAGUUAGACAGGGUAGUUUGCUAUAUCCUGUGCAUUGAUGUUUGUCAUGAUGAACUAUGUUUGGUUUGGAUCUUUGUAAUGAUUGUCACCAGGAUGUGGGUAUCCCCUGCAUUUUGGUUUACAUACUAUGUUAAUAAAGUUAGUUAUAUAGUUGGGAAACCCAUUAUUCUCCUUUCCUCUUUAUCUGAGAAGCUGUGUGGUCUGUGUUGGAGAUCAGUGAAGAUGCUCAUCUGUUCAGUGCUGUUGGAGAAUUCUAUACUCUUUUCUUAUGCUGCAAGCUUUGCCAGAUCAGUUCUGAUGUGUGGUUGCGUUCUGCAGAUGUCAGAGAACAGGCGUAGAGGAGGAAGGCGUGCUCAGCAGGAGCGAGCCGCUCCGCAGGAUGAGGUGCCCCAGCAGCAGCACCUGCCGCCCCCGCCCCCGAUGUCGAUCGAGCAGAUGUUUCUGAUGCAGACUCAGGCAGUUCAAGCCAUCGGUCAGACUCUGGCCGCCAUUCAGCAGCAGCAGCAGCAGCAACAGCAGCAAGCACCACCCCAGCCUCAGAUGCCUCAGAUGCCUAGAGACAAGCGUGCUGAAUUCAUGAGAGGUCAUCCACCAACGUUCGCUCACUCUUCUGACCCCAUGGAUGCUGAAGAUUGGCUGCGCACUGUGGAGCGGGAGUUGCAUACCGCUCAGUGCGAUGACCGGGAGAAAGUCUUGUAUGGUCCCCGUCUGUUGAGAGGAGCAGCCCAAUCAUGGUGGGAGUCUUACCUCGCCACCCAUGCCAACCCCGACACCAUCACCUGGGAAGAAUUCAGAGGUAGCUUUCGUCAGUACCAUGUCCCUGCAGGUCUGAUGACAGUGAAGAAGGAGGAGUUCCUGGCCCUUAAGCAAGGGUCAUCGUCUGUCAGUGAGUAUCGAGACAGGUUUCUGCAAUUGUCUCGCUAUGCUCCUGAAGAUGUCAACACCGACGCCAAGCGACAGUACCGUUUUCUGAGAGGCUUGGUUGACCCUCUGCAGUAUCAGCUGAUGAAUCACACCUUCCCGACAUGCCAGCACCUGAUUGACAGAGCAAUCAUGACAGAAAGGAAGCGUAAGGAGAUGGAAGAUCGUAAGCGCAAGAUCAGUGGACCCCAGCCUGGAAGCAGCAGCCGUCCCCGUUUCUCAGGCAAUCAACCUCAGCAGUUCAGGCAGAACCAGCGUCCACCUCAGCAGCAUCAGCAGCGUCAGCAGUAUCAGCAGUUCCAAAGGCAGUAUCCUCAGCAUCAGUACCAGAACCGUCAGAGCAAUCAGUCAGGAGGUCAGCUUCAAAAGCAGAAUCAGCAAGCACCUCGUCUUCCUGCCCCAGCAAAUCAGCAGAACAGUCAGGCAGCACCAGCUCAAGUUGGAAACAGAGCGUGUUUCCACUGUGGAGAGCAAGGCCACUGGGUGAUGCAAUGUCCGAAGAAGGCAGCCCAGCAGCAGUCAGGCCCCAAUGCCCCAGCAAAGCAGAAUGUGUCUCAGCCUGGAGCAGGCAACCGCUCUCAGCAGCGCUAUAAUCAUGGAAGACUGAAUCACUUGGAAGCUGAAGCAGUUCAGGAGACCCCCGACAUGAUAGUAGGUAUGUUCCCAGUCGACUCCCAUAUUGCAGAAGUGUUAUUUGAUACUGGAGCAACGCAUUCUUUCAUUACUGCAUCAUGGGUAGAAGCACAUAAUCUUCCAACUACUACCAUGUUAACCCCCAUUCAAAUUGACUCAGCCGGUGGUAGAAUUCGAGCCGAUAGCAUUUGUUUGAAUAUAAGUGUGGAAAUAAGGGGGAUAGCGUUUCCCGCCAACCUUAUAGUAAUGGGUACUCAGGGAAUAGAUGUCAUCCUAGGGAUGAAUUGGCUAGAUAAGUAUCAGGCAGUUAUCAGUUGUGAUAAAAGGACAAUCAAGUUGGUGUCUCCACUAGGAGAGGAAGUGGUGACCGAGUUAGUCCCGCCUGAGCCAAAGAAAGGAAGUUGUUAUCAGAUGGCUGUUGAUAGCAGUGAAGCAGACCCAAUCGAGAGUAUCAAGGUUGUUUCCGAAUUCCCAGAUGUGUUUCCAAAGGAUUUACCGGGUAUGCCACCAGAGCGGAAAGUUGAAUUUGCUAUAGAGCUUCUUCCUGGAACCGCCCCCAUCUCUAAGAGAGCUUACAGAAUAUCUGGACCAGAGUUGGUUGAACUUAAAAAGCAAAUUGAUGAGCUGUCAGAGAAAGGUUACAUCCGGCCAAGCACCUCGCCUUGGGCCGCCCCUGUCUUGUUCGUAGAAAAGAAAGAUGGCACCAAGAGGAUGUGUAUUGAUUAUCGAGCUUUGAAUGAGGUCACGAUAAAGAACAAGUAUCCUUUGCCCAGAAUAGAAGAUCUGUUCGACCAGUUGAGAGGAGCCAGUGUGUUCUCCAAGAUUGAUCUGAGAUCAGGUUAUCAUCAGCUCAGGAUCCGACCUUCGGACAUUCCGAAGACGGCAUUCAUUACCAAGUAUGGUUUGUAUGAGUUCACAGUGAUGUCUUUUGGUUUGACCAAUGCGCCAGCAUUCUUUAUGAACUUGAUGAACAGUGUAUUCAUGGAUUACCUUGAUAAGUUUGUGGUGGUAUUCAUUGAUGACAUUCUGGUUUAUUCUCAAAGUGAAGAAGAGCAUGCAGAUCAUUUGAGGAUGGUAUUGCAGAGAUUGCGAGAGCACCAGUUGUAUGCAAAGUUGAGCAAGUGUGAGUUCUGGAUCAGUGAAGUCCUGUUCUUGGGUCACAUAAUCAACAAAGAAGGAUUGGCUGUGGAUCCGAAGAAAGUGGCAGACAUUCUAAACUGGAAAGCGCCAACGGAUGCUCGAGGAAUCAAGAGCUUCAUUGGAAUGGCCGGAUAUUAUCGGCGAUUCAUUGAAGGGUUUUCGAAGAUUGCGAAGCCAAUGACAGCGUUGCUAGGCAACAAGGUUGAGUUCAAGUGGACCCAGAAAUGCCAAGAGGCCUUUGAAGCGCUGAAAGAGAAGUUGACUACAGCGCCUGUCCUAGUCUUGCCUGAUGUGCACAAGCCCUUCUCGGUGUAUUGCGAUGCUUGUUACACAGGUUUGGGAUGUGUGUUGAUGCAAGAGGGAAGAGUUGUGGCUUACUCGUCCCGACAGCUGAAGGUUCAUGAGAAGAACUACCCAAUCCAUGAUCUAGAGUUGGCAGCAGUGGUUCACGCACUGAAGUCAUGGAGGCACUAUCUGUAUGGACAGAAAUGCGAUGUUUACACAGAUCACAAGAGUCUGAAGUACAUAUUCACUCAGUCAGAGUUGAACAUGAGGCAGCGAAGAUGGUUAGAAUUGAUCAAAGACUAUGAGUUGGAGAUUCAUUACCAUCCAGGCAAAGCAAACGUAGUGGCAGAUGCUCUGAGCAGAAAGAGUCAAGUCAAUCUGAUGGUUGCUCGCCCGAUGCCUUAUGAGUUGGCCAAAGAGUUUGACAGGUUGAGUCUCGGAUUUCUGAACAAUUCGCGAGGAGUUACAGUUGAGUUGGAACCUACCUUGGAGCGCGAAAUCAAAGAAGCGCAGAAAAAUGAUGAGAAGAUCAGUGAGAUUCGGCGAUUGAUUCUAGAUGGUAAAGGCAAAGAUUUUCGAGAAGAUGCGGAAGGCGUGAUAUGGUUCAAAGACCGCUUAUGUGUUCCCAAUGUCCAGUCUAUUCGGGAGUUGAUUCUUAAGGAAGCUCAUGAGACAGCUUAUUCGAUUCACCCUGGCAGUGAGAAGAUGUAUCAGGAUCUGAAGAAGAAAUUCUGGUGGUACGGAAUGAAAAGAGAAAUCGCAGAGCAUGUGGCUAUGUGCGAUAGUUGUCGAAGAAUUAAGGCAGAACACCAGAGACCAGCUGGAUUGUUGCAACCGUUGCAGAUCCCUCAGUGGAAAUGGGAUGAAAUUGGUAUGGAUUUCAUAGUCGGAUUGCCUCGCACUCGAGCCGGCUACGAUUCCAUUUGGGUAGUAGUGGACCGCUUGACCAAGUCAGCCCACUUCAUACCUGUCAAGACCAACUACAACAGUGCAGUAUUGGCAGAAUUGUAUAUGUCUCGGAUCGUUUGUCUUCAUGGUGUGCCAAAGAAGAUAGUGUCAGACAGAGGAACGCAGUUCACCUCUCAUUUCUGGCAGCAGUUGCAUGAAGCCUUGGGCACGCAUCUGAAUUUCAGUUCAGCUUAUCACCCGCAGACAGAUGGUCAGACUGAAAGAACCAAUCAAAUCCUUGAAGAUAUGUUGAGAGCCUGUGCGUUGCAAGAUCAGUCCGGAUGGGACAAGCGAUUGCCUUAUGCGGAGUUUUCCUAUAACAACAGUUAUCAGGCCAGUUUGAAGAUGUCACCGUUUCAAGCGCUGUAUGGAAGGAGUUGCAGAACUCCGUUGCAAUGGGAUCAGCCUGGAGAGAAGCAGGUGUUUGGGCCAGAUAUUUUGCUUGAAGCCGAAGAGAACAUCAAGAUGGUCCGAGAGAAUCUGAAGAUAGCGCAAUCAAGGCAGCGAAGCUAUGCAGACACAAGAAGAAGAGAGCUGAGCUUUGAAGUCGGAGACUUUGUCUAUCUGAAAGUGUCACCGAUCAGAGGAGUCAGAAGAUUCGGAGUGAAAGGCAAGCUAGCACCCCGCUACAUUGGUCCGUAUCAAAUUCUCUCAAAGCGUGGAGAAGUGGCUUAUCAGCUCAGCCUGCCAGAGAAUUUGUCUGCUGUGCAUGAUGUCUUUCAUGUGUCUCAAUUGAAGAAGUGUUUGCGUGUGCCAGAAGAGCAGUUGCCAGUGGAAGGUCUUGAAGUCCAGGAGGACUUGACCUAUAUUGAGAAGCCAGCUCAGAUCCUUGAGGUUGCAGAUAGAGUCACCCGAAGGAAGACCGUCAGAAUGUGCAAAGUCAGAUGGAGUCACCACUCUGAGGAAGAAGCAACCUGGGAGCGUGAAGAUGAUCUGAUGGCCAAGUACCCGGAGCUCUUUGCUAGCCAGCCCUGAAUCUCGAGGGCGAGAUUCUUUUAAGGGGGAUAGGUUUGUAACGCCCCGAAUUUUGCAGUUGAAUUUUUUUCUUUUCUUUACUCGCCAAAAUUCGGGCGUUACCUUUUCCUUUUCUUUUUCCCUCCGCUAAACCUUGACCUUUUCCAAAGUUCUAAGCGGGAUUCGGUUUGGAAUUCCCGUGUAAGAAAAAACCCUAAAUACUUUAUGUUGUUUGAUGCACCAUGCCGAACCUUGCAUUUCUUUUGAUUGCUUUGAAAGCGCAAUUGCAUUCAUGUAGAAAGAUCGGAUUUCGAAAAUGUGGAGAAGAUCUUUUCUUUCUUUUUUUCUCCCUCUCUUUUUCUCUCCUCUUUUUCUCUCUCUCCCGCGCCGUGGGCCGACCCCGGCCGGCCCAGGCCCCUGCGCGCCCCCCCCUUGGGCCCAAUAGGCCCAGCCGCCCCCCUCUUUCCCUUAUUCCCUAACCCUCUCCCUCUCCCCCCUCAUUUUCUCCCUCCCCACCUAAGCCGCCGCCCCCUACCCCCUACCCGCCCCCUGCCCUAGGUCGCCGCGCCGCCCCCUGCCGCCGGCCGCCCCUCGCCGUCGAUCCCCGACACCGGUGAGCCCCCCCCCCUCCUCCCUCUCUCCCUCCUCCCUCUCUCCCCUCCCCUCCCCCCUCCCUGCCCGGCCAAGGCCCGACCGCCCCCUGUCCGCGCCGGCCGUCCCCCGCCCCGCCGUGGCCUGUGGCCGCCCGCUCGGCCGCCCAGCCCGACCCCCCCCGCGCCCGCCUGGCCGCCGGUUCAACCGGCCGGCUCAGCGGCUCAGCCGCCCGGCCAGCCCCGCCCGCGCCCGCGCCCCGCCUAGGGCCGGUUCAACCGCCCUAGGGCCGGUUCAACCGCCCCCCCCUUCUGUUUUUUUUAUUUUUUUUUAUUUUAUUUUAUUUACUUUCUGUGAUCAUGAUUACUGUAUUUUAAGUAGGCUAAUCACUGUUCAUGCUAUGGGAAAAUAGGAAGUUUAAUUUAAAAUUCCGUUGUGUUAUUGAUUCACGUAGUUAAUUGUUUACCCUGUGCAAUGUUGAUCAACUAAAAGUGAUUAGGUUUCCAUCAGUAUAUAUAAAUAUAUAUAACAGAAUUAUGUUGUUAAAAACCAAUUGUGUCAUUAGUGCAUAAGAUUUAACCCCCCUGCGAGACCUUUCCCGUUUCUUUCUAACCAUAACAAAUGCGUUAUCGAAUGUCAUAUUUGAUGCAUAUUCGCUUUAUUUGUUAUCUUGUAUGGUGUACUGUUCUUUUGUAUUGAAUAUGUGGAUGUAUGUAUGUAUGUUUGCGCUCGCAUAGAGAACGAUCCGGUCGAAGAGCCCAAGGAAUUCGCAGGAGAAGCCCCUGAGCAGCAGUCGUUUGGUGGAGGCAAGUGUCCUUUGACCUAUCUCUGUCCUAUUCAUUCUUUAAUUCACCUCCCGCAUUACACAUUUAUACCUAAGGAUUGACUAGCUUUUGUUAUCCAUGUCCUUGUUUACCUAUUUGGGUUGGAUUAUUACUGUUUAGCUUUAUGCUAUUGCUCAACUCUAAUCAAUGAACAUGAUGAGAUUAUCUAUGAUACGCUGUUUUCCCUUCUCUUAUUAUGAUGUUGUACUUGUGGUUUUCAAGGGGACUCGAGCGGUUUCUCGAGUGCCUCUCCGUAAGGACCUGUUCUAUGGAUGACCGCCCGGGAAAACAGUGCAACCAUGAGGGUGGAAUGGGGUGCCCUUAGCUGAAUAAUUAGAGGAUCCGGGGUGUAGUUCACUUAGCCGUCGUGCCGUCAAUGGGGCUCGGUGUAUGCGGCUCGCUCUGCCAAGUUUGGGUUCGCCCCUUGGGGAGGAGUGCGGUGCAUUUAGGAAACCUAACGGGUGGCUACAGCCCCGGGGAAUCUUUGUAAAGGCUACGUAGUGAAACCCUGCCUAUUCACCUUGGUAGUGUUUAAGGGUUUGAUCGGCCCGAGGCAAGAGGGAAUCACGGCUUGUGGGUAAAGUGCACAACCUCUGCAGAGUGUUAUGAAACUGAUAUAUCAGCCGUGCUCGCGGUUAUGAGCGGCCAAGGGAGCUCCAGUGAUUAGUGGUACUUGAUCAGAGACAUUGUGGUAGAGGUGGUUAUGAGAUUGAUGGUUUUGGUUAUGACUAUGGUGCUGGUAAGUGGUAUUCUUUCCGUUUGGAAAGGGUACAUCGGGUUAAUAACUUGGGUUAAUGCUAAAACUUGGCUUUCUACUAGUAAAUAAUAACCUGACCAACUAAAAGCAACUGCUUGACUUAUCCCCACAUAAAGCUAGUCCACUACAGCCAAACAGGAUACUUGCUGAGUAUGUUGAUGUGUACUCACCCUUGCUCUACACACCAAACCCCCCCCAGGUUGUCAGCAUUGCAACCACUGCUCAGGCGAAGAUGAAGCUGUGGAAGGAGACUUCCAGGAGUUCCAAGAUUACGACGAGUUCUAGGUGUGGGUUAGCGGCAACCCCCAGUCGGCUGCCUGUGAAGGCCGCGUUAUCUACGUUUCUUUUCCGCACUUUGAUUUAUUGUAAGAACUAUAUGGACGUCUCAGACGUAUGAUGUAAUCGACUAUUCCCCUUAUUAAUACUAUUUUGAGCACUGUGUGAUGAUGUCCAUAUUAUGUAACUGCUGUGUACGUGAAUAACUGAUCCUGGCACGUACAUGGUUCGCAUUCGGUUUGCCUUCUAAAACCGGGUGUGACAGUGAUUCUACUUGGCGUUUAGUUUUUAGUUACUUGUUGCUUGCUGCAAUUUACUGUUCAAAAGAAAAGAAAGAAGUUCUGAACCACGUGGUUGUGUAAGCAUAGUUGAUUUACAAUGUCCUAUUUAUUGUUGUUAUGUUUACUUGCUGAGAUGUGUUAUCUCACAUCUUGCAUUGUUUGAUGCAGGCACCUAAUUUCUGCUUUGGGAAUAGAGGGAUGUAGCAGCACGACCACUACACCUUUAAUAAAGGAACCACCAUUUAAUAAUGUUGUUAAUCAGAGUUGGUCAAGUCUAGUGAAUUGCUUUGUUCUUGGUUGAGCGUUUAUUUUGGGGUGGGCUGAGUUUCUUAUCCCAUUUGUUUCACUUCAGUUGGGGCAUAAAUGAGCUUUACCACUUUGCGUCUAGUUUCUGCUAUGUGAAUUAUAUGUCUUUAUAUCCUGUAUGAACUUCAUGUUUUCCCCUCCUUGUUAUGUUAGUUUCGAAGGAGGUGCUGCCGGAUUUUGCUAUAUUUUUCUUUCUUUAUUACGCCUCUUGUGUCGAGUAAGUUAGGUGGGUGGGUUUUUUUGGUGAUAUCCAUUGUGUGUGACCAGUGGGGUAUUACAGUUGGUAUCAGAGGAUAGGCUGUAGGUCCUAGCAAGUGGAGUAAUAAUAAAUUGACACACUGCACAUGUAUUUCUGGCUUGCUAUUGAUAUGUUAUGUUAUUGUAUGUGCUAGUUUGGCAUUAUCUGAAGAGAUGUUAUGCCAAUCUUAUUUACUUAUUAUUCUCAUCCCUGUGGCUGCAGCUAUGCCGCCUCGUAGGGCUCGGAGUAGUCCGCAAGCUCCUAGUUGGGACUCGAUGAGUCCGGUGGCAAUGUUAGCCGCGAUGCAGGCCAUGCAGCAGGAGUUGGCCCUUCUGAGGCAAGCCAUUCCUGUCGCCCCUGCGGGUGCUGCUCAGGGUGCUGGAGGUGAAGAAGUGCCUAGGGGCGCUGUCCCUGCGGGUGCUGUUCCAGGUGGCGGGGCCGAGGUGCCUCUUUUAGUCAGUGGUCUUUCUCUGAUGCAGUGGAUGGGCAUGAAGUUGGAUUCUUUUGAUGGUAGUGGUACUCCGGUCGAGGCAGCAGAUUGGUUGACUUAUGUGGAGGAUAAGAUGAAUGUCUUCGAGAUUGCUUAUGGAGAUCGGGUUCGCUUUGGCACUCAGCUGCUGAAGGGAGAGGCUCAGAUUUGGUGGAGAGGCGUGCAGACAGCGCACUCCUCCUCACCAGGAGUCCUAUCUUGGGAUGUUUUCAUCAGGCAGUUUGAAAGGAGAUUCUACCCGGUCACCUUUCUAGAGAAAAUGAAGGUUGACUUGCAGUCCUACAAGCAGGAGAAGAAGUCUGUCAUAGAGUAUGAGGUGGGCUUCAACAAGAUGGUCCGCUUUGUCCCUCAUGUGGCUUAUAAUGAGAUGGAGAAGGCGAGCCAGUUCUGUCAGGGUCUAAAGCCUUCUAUCAGGCAUGCACUGGGGGCCUUUCCGUUGGUGGACUUCCGUACCACGGUGGAGCAGGCACUGGGUGUGGAGAUGCAACACUAGUAUACCAUGGAGUCACAGAAGUCUUCGGGUGUUGAACAGCCUCAUAGCCAGGACGCGAGGAGGGGCAACACUGGAGGUCCAGCCCACAAGAGGGGCAAGUCUCAGCAUCAGCGCCACCAUCCUUACCGUGGCAAAUCUUCUGACUCGGGUACUUCGGGAGGAAGUACUCAGAGGUUUCGGGACGUUCCUAAGCCUGGGCUGGGGCUGGUGUGUUUCCGCUGUGGUGAUGCGCAUCGCCGUGCAGAGUGCCAGUGGAGUGGUAGGUGUUCUAUCUGCAGUCAGGACCAUAAGGAUGUGGUGUGUAGGAGGAAUCCUAAUGGGAAGCUCAGAUGGGAGCCGGUGACUUCCUCCUCUUCUCAGGGCACCAUCAACAUGAUGUCAAGUGUUGAGCAGCAAUUUUCAGUUCCUCUUCCUCCACAGCAGCUCUAUGUGCCUGAGACUUCUCAGUUCGUGCCGAUGCACGGUUUUCCUCAGUAUCAGGCCGCGCCUACUCCUGCACCGUCUACUCCUAUGCUGUCUCAGUUUGGAGCUCCGCGCCUGCCUCAUCCAGUGGCUCAGUGGGGUUCUUCUGUUAAUUUCACUCCAGGGGCUUCCUCUUCUGCGGGUAUUUCUGGAGCUUAUGUGCUACCCGCUACGAAUGGCAGGGAGCAAGGAGACGUGGUGAUAGGUACAAUUUCAGUUGAUUCGUUUGCAGCCCAUGCUCUUUUUGACUCUGGCGCUAGCUAUUCGUUUGUUUCGGAGGAUUUUGUGUCGCGGGCUGGUCUUUCGGUGCAGAGGUUGGGUCACCCAAUUUUGGUUAGAUCUGCUAAUGGCUCCAUUAGUAGCUGUUCAGUUUGUCAGGGGUGUUCCGUCAUUCUUGCUGAUGAGGUUUUUUCGGCCAAUCUGGUGGUGAUUUCCUUGGGGGCAUUCGAUGUUAUCUUGGGUAUGGAUUGGUUAUCCCAGUAUCGCGCGGUUAUAUCCUGCUUCUGGAAGACAAUGUUAUUGCAGGCGCCGUCGGGUAAGGAGGUGGUAUUCUUGGGAAGUUCCCCGAAGUUCAAGUUAUCCUUGUUGGCGCAAUUGCUUCCUGAUCGCCGGUCAAGGAAGUCGGGGAUCUUUUUCUCCAUGGUGGUGGAGGGUGAGGCUGCCUUGCGGGUGCAGGACAUCCGGGUGGUGUGUGACUUUGCUGACGUGUUUCCGGCAGAGCUUCCAGGCAUUCCUCUGGAGCGUGAUGCAGCUUUUGAGAUUAAGCUGAUCCCGGGUACGCAGCCUAUUCAUAAGGCCCCGUAUCGAAUGGCCCCAAAGGAGCAGAUUGAAUUGAAGCGGCAAUUGGAUGAUCUGCUGGCUAAGGGUUUCAUUAGGCCUAGCAGGUCUCCAUGGGCUUCCCCAGUAUUGUUUGUUGAGAAGAAGGAUAAAAGCAAGCGGCUGUGUGUGGAUUAUCGCGCUUUGAAUCAAGUGACAAUCAAGAAUAAAUAUCCUCUUCCCCGAAUUGAGGUCCUCUUUGAGCAGUUGAGGGGUGCCCAGGUGUUCUCCAAAAUUGAUUUGAACUCCGGUUAUCAUCAAUUGAGGAUUCGUGAGGAGGAUAUUGAGAAGACCGCCUUUUGCACCAGGUAUGGGCAUUAUGAGUUCAUAGUCAUGUCUUUUGGCUUAACUAAUGCCCCUGCUGCCUUUAUGGAAGCAAUGAAUAGGAUGCUGCAUGAAUUCCUGGACGAUUUUGUGGUCAUGUUCCUGGAUGAUAUUUUGAUUUAUUCAAAGACCGAGGCCGAGCAUGAGCAGCAUAUCUGUCUCGUUCUAGGUGCCCUAAGGAAGAAUCAAUUCUAUGGCAAGUUGAAGAAGUGUGCCUUUUGGCUAUCCGAAGUGGCUUUGCUGGGGCACGUGAUUAAUCAGCAGGGUAUUGCGGUUAAUCCCAAGAAUGUUGUGGCUGUGGUGGAGUGGAAGAGACCUUCUAGUGUCUCUGAAAUCCGGUGUUUCUUGGGGCUUGCUGGGUAUUAUCGGCGCUUCGUACCAAAUUUUUCCAGCAUUGCUAAGCCUUUGACUAGGCUCUUGGAGAAGGGUGUUCCCUUCGUCUGGUCCGGCGAUUGUGAGGUCAGUUAUCAGUCAUUGAAGAGCAAGUUGGUGGACGCCCCUAUCCUAGCUUUGCCUGAGAGCGGUAAGCGUUUCACAGUUUAUACGGAUGCUUCACGUAUUGGUCUUGGCUGUGUGCUGAUGCAGGAAGGCAGAGUGAUUGCUUAUGGCUCAAGGCAGUUGAGGAAGCAUGAGGGGAAUUAUCCAACUCAUGAUCUGGAAUUGUCCGCGGUUGUUUUUGCUCUUAAGUCGUGGAGGCAUUACCUUUAUGGCGAGACUUGUGACAUUUUCACCGAUCACAAAAGUCUCAAGUAUAUUUUUACUCAGAAGGAGCUGAAUUUGAGGCAGCGUCGGUGGCUGGAAUUGAUUAAAGAUUAUGAUUUGUCCAUUCAUUAUCACCCAGGGAAGGCUAAUGUGGUGGCUGAUGCCCUUAGUAGGUCCGGGGUUCCGAAGGUGGCCUUGCCGUUGAUCGCUGAUCUGGACCGUGUGGGGAUCGCUUUGUGUUAUGUCGGCACCGCUAGCAAGGAGACUCAGAUGCUUAUUCAAUCCUCUCUCAUGGAGAGAGUGCGUGCGGCUCAGCAGCAGGAUCGUCUAUUGCAGGAAGCUCGAAAGAGGGUGGGUGAUGGUAAACCACGGGAGUUCACCAUUGAUGAGAAUGAUUUGGUUCGUUUCAGGGGCCGCCUCUGUGUGCCUCAGAAAUCAGAGGUGAAGAUGGAUAUCUUGAGAGAAGAUCAUAAAACGCCUUACACCGUCCAUCCUGGCGAAACCAAAAUGUACCGAGAUUUGAAGCAAAACUUCUGGUGGAAGCAGAUGAAGGUUGACGUUUCUAAGUAUGUGGCCGCCUGUGAAGUAUGUCAGCGCGUGAAGGCCGAGCAUAAGCGGCCUGCAGGUUUGCUGAAGCCAUUAGAAAUUCCAGAGUGGAAAUGGGAGCAUAUCACCAUGGAUUUUGUGGUGGGUCUACCUCGUUCCCCUCGUGGCAGGGAUGUUAUUUGGGUGGUAGUGGAUCGCUUGACUAAGUCUGUGCAUUUUAUUCCCAUGAAGACCACAAAUUCAGCUUCAGAUUUGGUUCCCUUGUAUAUGAAGGAAGUAGUCAGGCUUCACGGGGUACCUAAGUCUAUUGUUUUUGAUCGAGACUCCAAAUUUGUAUCCAAAUUCUGGGAGAGUCUCCAUAGUGCUUUGGGCACCAAGCUUUCGCUUAGUGUCGCUUUUCACCCUCAGACGGAUGGUCAGUUAGAGCGAACAAUCCAAAUCUUGGAAGAUAUGUUGCGUGCUUGUGUUCUGUCAUGGAAGGGUAGCUGGGAGGAUCAUCUUGCACUGGCAGAGUUUGCUUAUAACAACAACUACCAGGCUAGCAUCAAGAUGGCACCAUUUGAGGCUUUGUAUGGCAGGCGGUGUAUCUCUCCUCUGUGAUGGGAGACUUUGGGAGAGAGAUCCCUGGUUGGUCCUGAUUGGGUUCAGCAAACUUCUGAAAAGGUUCGGGAAAUUCGUCAGAAUAUUUUGGCAGCUUAGAGUCGUCGGAAGAGUUAUGCUGAUGUGAGGAGGCGAGAUCUGGAAUUUGUUGUGGGUGACCAAGUCCGUCUCAGGGUAUCACCCACUAAGGGAGUUGUUCGGUUCGGUGUCUCUGGGAAGCUCAGCCCGAGAUACAUUGGACCGUUCACUAUCUUGGCCCGAGUGGGCAGCCUGGCUUAUCGCUUGCUACUGCCGGAUUCCAUGGCAGGGGUACACCCGGUUUUUCAUGUCUCUAUGUUGAGGAAGUUCUUGCGGGAUCCGGACCAUCAGAUUGAGAUGGAACCAAUUGCGGUGCAGCAGGAUCUGACUCUGAGUGUCGUCCAGUGCGUAUAUUGGAAUUCUCGGAGCGUGUAUUGAGGAAGAGAUCAAUUAAGUAUGUCAAGGUCUUAUGGACUAAUCAGUCUGAGCGCGAGGCUACGUGGGAACUUGAGGAGCUGAUGCGGCAGAAGUACCCGGAACUUUUCAUUGUGGGUAAGUGUUGUUGGUUCAUUAAUCUUUUCUUUUGUCAUUCCGAUAGAAGCGUCAGAAUUCGAGGUCGAAUUCUUUUUAAGAGGGAUAGAGUGUGAUCCUGUACGCUCUGUCCAGUGACCCUGUACGCUGAGUCUUGGCGAUCUUGCAGGAUAGCCCCUGGGUUUUCUGGAAAUUGAGGCCCAGUCCAGUCAACUCGAAAAUCAGAGAAAUAAAAUAGAAAAGGGAUUUUAGUGAAUAAAUAAUUGCUGGAAACUUGUUUAAUUUGUAGAAAAUUCAUUUUUAGUCCAAAUUAACCCAUUCCAGUUUCUAAAAUUUUAUAAUUUUAUUCUCUAUCACUUAGAGCCUCUGUUUUAUCAUGAAAACAAUAAGAAAUUUAAUCUCUCACUUAAUCCAUUUUAAACAUAUAAAACCUUUGAAAAUUCAUAACUUAAAAUCUAUAACUCCAAAAAAUACGAUUCCUGUUCCUAGGUUUUUAUUUUAAUGUGUAGAUUAUUACUGUGUAUUUUAUUUAUAUGUUUGGUGUAUUGUUAAUUUCUCUAUAUGCACUGUGCUUGUUUGUAUUGUGGCGAGUAGAAGAGCUCGUGACUGAAGAUCCUGGUGAGCAGCAGGUUGAAGUAGCUAAGCAGGAGCUCAUUGAAGGCAAGUUGUGCCCUUGACCACUUUUUACCCAAUAAUGUUCUUUAAUAUCAUUUAUUCAUGCAUAGGUUAAUUUUGAUGGGACCCAAUAGGUUAUCCUAGAUUGUUUAUCUCAUUACCUUGUUUACCCCUGAAUCACUUGGGUAGUUUGCUAUUGCUUUACAUGGAUUUGGGAUAAUUAUUUAUCAUAUCUAUGUUCCAGUUAUUUUGUUAUUCUAUUUAUGUUCAUGUCAAGAUCAUUAAUGUUAAUUGGAACAUAGAGCUUAACUUGAGAAACACGUGCCAUCACAAGGGUUUAAUGGGACGCCCUUGGCUGACUAAUUAGGAAAGCUAGUGGAAGACUACCUUACCCGAAAGGGGCAAGGGCAGUAGGGGAGUGGUCAGUGUAGGGAGGUCCUUGGUUGAUUUUGCUGCGAUGGCGGUCAGGCAAGAACCCUGCAUUGGAGCUUCCUAUAAACUGUAGCGGGUUUUCGGAAGCUAGUGGAACUUUGUACAGGCCUCGUAGUGUUGCCCUGCCACGCUUCCUAGGUAGAGGUGUAUAUGGGAGUCGCGACCCCUUGGCAGAUGGGUAACAUGACUUGUGGGUAAAGGGUACAACCUCUGCAGAGUGUAAAACUGGUAUACUAGCCGAGCUCACGGUCAUGAGCAGCUCAGGACUCUCUGAUGAUUAAAUUAUGGAACUUAAAUUCAAUUUGUCAUUUGCAUAUGCAUGGGUUUAUUAUUAAUUUUGUUCUAUUAUUUAUUAAGGUUUGGUAUUUACUUACAUCUAGUAAUUGCUAAUAAAAGUUUGACCAACAUUAAAAGCAAUGCUCAGCUUUAACCAUUCUCUUUGAUAAGCCUUACACUCCAUGAGCUCCCACCUUUGGUGAGUUCAUGCCACAUUAUUCCCCACAACUUGUUGAGCGAUGAACAUGUGUGAGCUCACCCUUGCUGUCUCACACCCCCCCACAGGAGAAGAACAUGUGGUUCAGGAGGAGCCACAAAGCGAGGAGUUUGAUCUGAUCUAGGUGGCCUUUCUCAGUUGACAUUGGCACCAACGACGAUCCUUAGUUCGUUUUAUAUUUAUUCUUUUAUUUUGUAAUAAGUCUUCCGCUAUGUAAUAAAUACUCUGAUUAUUGUGACAUUUAUCUCUAUACACUCUGUUAUUAUAUAUGUUGUCUUCUUGGCGCAUGUAUGAGAUGCACCUGGCUUUGUUCUUUAAAGCCGGGUGUGACAGAAGUGGUAUCAGAGGAAAUGUUGACUGUAGGACGAAACCUAGAUGGAAAUGGACAAACCCUUCACUACUUACCUUAUUCUGAUUCAUUCUAUACUUAUCUCAUCUUGGUCUUGUCUCACCUUCUGCUUUUCUACUCUGAUUACUCUUAUCUUUUCUACUCUAAGACAAGAUGGAUUUCACACCAUGGAAUCCUACCCCUACGACAUUUCUAAGAGAUAGAAAACCUAAGACAAAAAAAUCAAAACUAUUUUCUCUAUUAAAAAAAAUGUUGGUUGAUUGUUCUGAUGCUAGAUGCUUGAUUUGCUUCUUUGAUUGAUUGAAACAUUAUAGUUGGGCAUCUUAUUAUGUACCACCAUAAGAUAAUGUAUUAGCUUUAGUGGAUAACACACUAAUCUACUUAGCUAAUAAAUCCCCCGCAGUAACAUUCCUCGUAAUUACUCGCCUUGUCUACAAUUCUUCCUUUCUUACCCCUAUACUAUUAGAAGAGAGCAGUAUAGACUUGAUCCUUGGUAUGUCAUGGUUAAGAAAGUCAAAGACAGUUGCUAAGGGAACCAUAGAACUCACCAGUUCCAAAGGAGAAAGAUUUGAAGUUGGAAUUGCAGUAACUCCUGCCACCAGACUAGCGGCAUUCUUAGUAGAUGGGAAGUUUGUUGGUGUCAACAUCCGUGUGGUUAGAGAUUUUUCGGAUGUCUUCCCAGAAGAGUUACUAGGGAUGCCACCAUAUAGGGAAAUUGAGUUUAUCAUUGAUCCCUUACCUGGGCUGCCCCUACUCCCAAACGGCCAUACAGGAUGUCCGUAGAAGAACUAAAAGGAACUUAAGAAGCAAUUAACGGAAUUACAAGAGGAUGGGUACAUUUGUCCGAGUUCUUCACCUUAUGGAGCACCAGUUCUAAUUGUACAGAAGAAAGAAGGAUCACAAGGGAUGUGCGUGGAUUAUAGGUCCCUUAACGACGUCACUGUGAGGAACAAGUAUCCGUUACCCCGUAUUGAGGAUUUAUUUGAUCAGAUGAGAGGUGCUACAGUAUUUUCGAAGAUUGAUCUCCGAUCCGGAUACCAUCAGAUGAGGAUUAGACCAUCGGAUAUUCCCAAGACAGCAUUCUCGACUUGAUAUGGAUUAUAUGAGUUCACUGUUAUGUCGUUUGGAUUGACCAAUGCACCAGCUUAUUUUAUGAAUUUGAUGAACAAGGUGUUUAUGGAGUAUUUGGAUAGAUUUGUCGUGGUAUUCAUCGACGAUAUUCUUAUCUAUUCCAAGAAUGAUAUUGAUCAUGAGGAGCAUCUGAGGUUGGUGCUACAGAAGCUACGAGAUAACCAGCUAUAUGCCAAGUUUAGCAAGUGCGAGUUUUGGAUUGGCGAGGUGCCAUUUCUUGGUCAUAUUAUUUCUAAUGGAGGAAUUUCAGUGGAUCCUGCUAAAGUUAAGGAGAUAAUGGAGUGGAGAGUACCCACUACAGUUACUGAGAUUUGGAGUUUCUUGGGACUAGCAGGAUAUUAUCGGAGAUUUAUUGAAGGAUUUUCUAAGAUUGCUAAGCCUAUGACUUCGCUUCUGGAGAAAGGAAGAGAAUUUAAGUGGAACGAGAAGUGCCAAGACAGCUUUGAUCAAUUGAAGAAGAGAUUGAUGUCACCCCCAGUAUUGGUUAUGCCAGACCUACAGAAAGGAUUUGAUAUCUAUUGUGAUGCAUGUGGCCAAGGCUUAGGAUGUGUGCUCAUGCAGGAAGGACAUGUGAUUGCCUAUGCUUCUCGUUAGUUACGCAAACAUGAAUUGAACUACCCCACUCAUGACUUGGAAUUGGCAGCCGUUGUGCAUGCGCUUAAGAUUUGGAGACAUUACAUUAUGGGAACCAAGUGCCAAGUGUACACGGAUCAUAAGAGAUGGAAGUAUAUAUUCGCUCAGAAGGAUCUCAACCUUAGGCAACGCCGUUGGUUGGAGCUUAUUAAGGAUUAUGAUUUGGAGAUUAACUAUCACCCGGGCAAGGAAAAUUUGGUUGCAGAUGCCUUGAGUCGAAAGGAGCAUGUUCAUUCAGCUGUUGUUGCUCAGCUACCCGAUGAGAUUGUUGAGGAUUUCAGGAGACAUAACCUGGGGAUAGUUGGUCACACCGAAGGAGUUACUAUUGUUGUGGAACCUAUUUUGGAGCAAGAAAUCCGCAAAUGACAAAUUAGGGGUGCUAAAACACAAGAGAUUAAGGAUCUGAUUACUGAAGGUCAAGGUCCGGAAUUCACGGAAGAUGAGCAAGGCACUGUGUGGUUCAAGGACAGGAUAUGUGUUCUUGAUAUUGAAAGCCUUCGUGAGACUAUUUUAAAAGAAGCCCAUGACUCGGAUUAUUCUAUUCAUCCUGGGAGUACCAAGAUGUAUCAGGAUUUGAAGCAGAAAUAGUGGUGGUAUGGAUUGAAGAGAGAUGUGGCUGCACAUGUGGCUAUGUGCGAUGUGUGUCAAAGAAUUAAGGUUGAACACCAGAGGCCAGCUGGACUACUGCACCCACUGAAGAUACCCGAGUGGAAGUGGGAAGAUAUUGGUAUGGAUUUCAUUACUGGAUUGCCUCGCACCCAGAAAGGAUAUGAUGCUAUAUGGGUGAUUGUGGAUAGAUUGACUAAAGUGGCUCACUUUAUUCCUAUCAAGACUACAUAUAAAGGUUCUCAGCUAGCAGAGUUAUAUAUGGCUCGGAUUGUGUAUUUACAUGGAGUACCAAAGAAGAUCGUGUCUGAUCGAGGUUCACAGUUUACCUCAAGAUUUUGGAGAAGCUUUCAUGAGAACAUGAGCACGAAGUUGAAUUUUAGUACGGCUUAUCACCCUUAGACUGAUGGACAGACUGAAAGGACUAAUCAAGUAUUGGAAGAUAUGUUGAGAGCUUGUGCCCUUCAGCAUGGAGGAAGUUGGGAUAAAAGUUUGCCUUAUGCUGAGUUCUCAUAUAAUAAUAGUUAUCAGGUCAGUCUGAAGAUGUCACCUUUUGAAGCUUUAUACGGGAGAAAGUGCAGAACUCCUUUGUAUUGGGGACCAGACUGGAGAAAGACAGUUGUUUGGGCCUGAACUGAUUCAAGAGGCAGAAGAACAAGUUCGUCUAAUUCGAGAGAAUUUGAAGGUGGCUCAAACCAGGCAAAAGAGCUACGCAGAUAAUAGAAGAAGACCACUGGAAUUUGAAGAAGGAGAUUAUGUGUAUCUCAAGGUGUCACCACUUCGUGGAAUGAGGAGAUUCAAAGUUAAGGGCAAAUUGUCCCCACGCUAUAUUGGACCUUUCUUGAUCUUUAGGCGAGUUGGGGAGAUGGCAUACCAACUCGAGUUACCUGCUAGUCUGUCGGAUGUGCAUAAUGUAUUUCAUGUGUCUCAACUUAAGAAGUGUCUCCGUGUCCCCGAGGAACAGUUACCAAUGGAGGAGCUCAGUGUUCAGGGUGAUUUGACUUACACGGAGUACCCGAUCAAGAUUUUGGAUACUUUGACUCGAGUUACAAGAAAUAAGGUGAUAAAAAUGUGCAAAGUACAGUGGAGUCACCAUGGCGAAGAUGAAGCAACGUGGGAAAGAGAAGAAGAGCUUCGCAUAGAUUUUCCCCAUCUUUUCUCUAGUUCUUCUUAAAUCUCGAGGACGAGAUUAUUUUUAAGGGGGGUAGGAUUUGUAAUACCCAUUUUGUAAAAGAAAUAAAAGGAGAAUUUCCUUUCCUUUAUAUGUGAUUUUUCCAUUUAUCAUCACAUGUGAACACUUCAUUUGAAAAUAAAUGAUUAAUAAGAAUAUAAAUACAAUUAAAUCAUGCAUCAUGCUGGUGUUUAUUGGUGUGUGCAUUUGUCUACAGUGGUAAUGAUAACAAGAAUACAUAAAAGAAGAGAAUUAGUCCUAACCCAAUUUGCACUUUAGAAUCUAGAAAAGGGGGAAAGAAAGGAAUAACAUACUAUGCAAAAUGAAUCUAUGAAUAAAUAACUUCUUCAAAUUGGGUAUGAUCAAGAGAAACAUUAAAUUUGAAUACAAAUUUUGUCACCAAGUUGAAUUUGAAAUUUAAAAUUUGGAAAAGAAAACAAAAAAUAAAAAUAUAAAAGAAAAAGGAAUAGGAGACUUACCUGGGCCUCGGAUCUCACUUUCGGCCCACUAAGGAGAACCCACGCCUUGGCCCAUUUCUCCACCCGCGCUGCUGUGUGUGUUGGACGGCGCCGACAUGCGGGCCAUCCAAGUCAGUCGCAUGUGCGCCUCCCUCCUUCCCUUUUCCACCGAUGUGUGGGACCGGGAUGUUGGAUCCACCGUAUCCACGAAAUCAGGCGCGGGCUGCGGAACUGCUUGCGCGAAGCUCGCUCUCGUUGCCGGGGGAACACCCGCUCGCUACUGGAGCCGCGACUCAGUCAGCCCCGUGCCUCAGCCAGCCGCCGCGCUCGGUCACCAACGCGUGGGCCCCACCAGCCAGUGCCCAACGCCAUGAGAUCUCGUCUUCAACCACCACGCCGUGCAUGGCGGAGCUCCGCCGGGAGCUUCGGGGGUUGUUGCAUGCGCUUGGACCGGUCUGGAAGGAUUUAAGUGCGGAGGAGCCGAGGGAUUGACCCUCCCUCUUCGCCACGCCUCGGCCAGCCUCGUCGGGAAAUCGUGUGAGAGAGACCGGGGAGGAGGAGAGAGAAUUUCGGACCGCCACCGUCCGACUCGUAGGUAGUGUCGCUCGGGCACCCGCGGGGCGUUCCAGGGCCGCGGCGGGGCACCUGAAAACCUCGGCGACCACCAAUUUCGAGCUGGGCAUCGCUGCGCUAGAGCAAUUGCUCGCCGUCGUCCUCACGCCGUCGCACCUCCGCCUAUCCCCGUGGCCAGAAGGCUCCCGGCGACAAUUCGCGGUAUGGACUCCCUCCCUGUACUCGCGUCCGCCUAUAUCGUGUGUAGUAGCGUCCUGGGCAUCGGAUUUGGGCAUUCGGGCUGUUGGUGACUCUCGCCGGUGAUGGCGCCACCGCGGGCGGAGUGCUCCGCCGUGCCUGUUCACCAGAGAGGAAACGAAGAGAGAGUGUGGACGUUCUGUGUCGUCGAUCGCGGGAUUAACGGUCCAAUUUAGGCUCUAUGUACCGAUUCGGGGUGGCGUAGCAAUGGCCGUCCGAUUUUGAUCGUGCGGGCGGGAGUAAAGUUAGGGUAAUUAAAUCUGGGUCGUCGGAUUUGGAUCCAAGGGAUCACACUGUGUACCGGUUCGCGCAGUUUGCGGUUUAAUCCUGGCGCUCAGUUUUUGAUCGGGCGGCUGGAAUUGGAUAAUACCCCUUCGGCCAGCACAAUUGCAAAAGAAACCCUAGAAAAUCUAGGAAUCAACCCUCUGUCCAGUGACCCUGUACGCUGAGUCUUGGCGAUCUUGCAGGAUAGCCCCUGGGUUUUCUGGAAAUUGAGGCCCAGUCCAGUCAACUCGAAAACAAGAGAAAUAAAAUAGAAAAGGGAUUUUAGUGAAUAAAUAAUUGCUGGAAACUUGUUUAAUUUAUAGAAAAUUCAUUUUUAGUCCAAAUUAACCCAUUCCAGUUUCUAAAAUUUUAUAAUUUUAUUCUCUAUCACUUAGAGCCUCUGUUUUAUCAUGAAAACAAUAAGAAAUUUAAUCUCUCACUUAAUCCAUUUUAAACAUAUAAAACCUUUGAAAAUUCAUAACUUAAAAUCUAUAACUCCAAAAAAUACGAUUCCUGUUCCUAGGUUUUUAUUUUAAUGUGUAGAUUAUUACUGUGUAUUUUAUUUAUAUGUUUGGUGUAAUGUUAAUUUCUCUAUAUGCACUGUGCUUGUUUGUAUUGUGGCGAGUAGAAGAGCCCGUGACUGAAGAUCCUGGUGAGCAGCAGGUUGAAGUAGCUGAGCAGGAGCUCAUUGAAGGCAAGUUGUGCCCUUGACCACUUUUUACCCAAUAAUGUUCUUUAAUAUCAUUUAUUCAUGCAUAGGUUAAUUUUGAUGGGACCCAAUAGGUUAUCCUAGAUUGUUUAUCUCAUUACCUUGUUUACCCCUGAAUCACUUGGAUAGUUUGCUAUUGCUUUACAUGGAUUUGGGAUAAUUAUUUAUCAUAUCUAUGUUCCAGUUAUUUUGUUAUUCUAUUUAUGUUCAUGUCAAGAUCAUUAAUGUUAAUUGGAACAUAGAGCUUAACUUGAGAAACACGUGCCACCACAAGGGUUUAAUGGGACGCCCUUGGCUGACUAAUUAGGAAAACUAGUGGAAGACUACCUUACCCGAAAGGGGCAAGGGCAGUAGGGGAGUGGUCAGUGUAGGGAGGUCCUUGGUUGAUUUUGCUGCGAUGGCGGUCAGGCAAGAACCCUGCAUUGGAGCUUCCUAUAAACUGUAGCGGGUUUUCGGAAGCUAGUGGAACUUUGUAAAGGCCUCGUAGUGUUGCCCUGCCACGCUUCCUAGGUAGAGGUGUAUGGGAGUCGCGACCCCUUGGCAGAUGGGUAACAUGACUUGUGGGUAAAGGGUACAACCUCUGCAGAGUGUAAAACUGGUAUACUAGCCGAGCUCACGGUCAUGAGCAGCUCAGGACUCUCUGAUGAUUAAAUUAUGGAACUUAAAUUCAAUUUGUCAUUUGCAUAUGCAUGGGUUUAUUAUUAAUUUUGUUCUAUUAUUUAUUAAGGUUUGGUAUUUACUUACAUCUAGUAAUUGCUAAUAAAAGUUUGACCAACAUUAAAAGCAAUGCUCAGCUUUAACCAUUCUCUUUGAUAAGCCUUACACUCCAUGAGCUCCCACCUUUGGUGAGUUCAUGCCACAUUAUUCCCCACAACUUGUUGAGCGAUGAACAUGUGUGAGCUCACCCUUGCUGUCUCACACCCCCCCACAGGAGAAGAACAUGUGGUUCAGGAGGAGCCACAAAGCGAGGAGUUUGAUCUGAUCUAGGUGGCGUUUCUCAGUUGACAUUGGCACCAACGACGAUCCUUAGUUCGUUUUAUAUUUAUUCUUUUAUUUUGUAAUAAGUCUUCCGCUAUGUAAUAAAUACUCUGAUUAUUGUGACAUUUAUCUCUAUACACUCUGUUAUUAUAUAUGUUGUCUUCUUGGCGCAUGUAUGAGAUGCACCUGGCUUUGUUCUUUAAAGCCGGGUGUGACAUUAGAGAUAUGGAGGCAGAAGUCAUUAUUGCAUUUGUAGCCAUGUGCAUUCCUGGGAGAGGUGUGGAAUCUAUUAUGUGAAUGUGGAUAAUUUUGGACUUUUGCAUGGUGAUUCUACUUGGCGUUGAGUUUUUAGUUACUUGUUGCUUGCUACAAUUUACUGUUCAAAAGAAAAGAAAGAAGUUCUGAACCACGUGGUUGUGUAAGCACAGUUGAUUUACAAUGUCCUAUUUAUUGUUGUUAUGUUUACUUGCUGAGAUGUGUUAUCUCACAUCUUGCAUUGUUUGAUGCAGGCACCUAAUUUCUGCUUUGGGAAUAGAGGGAUGUAGCAGCACGGCCACUACACCUUUAAUAAAGGAACCACCAUUUAAUAAUGUUGUUAAUAAGAGUUGGUCAAGUCUAGUGAAUUGCUUUGUUCUUGGUUGAGCGUUUAUUUUGGGGUGGGCUGAGUUUCUUAUCCCAUUUGUUUCACUUCAGUUGGGGCAUAAAUGAGCUUUACCACUUUGCAUCUAGUUUCUGCUAUGUGAAUUAUAUGUCUUUAUAUCCUGUAUGAACUUCAUGUUUUCCCCUCCUUGUUAUGUUAGUUUCAAAGGAGGUGCUGCCGGAUUUUGCUAUAUUUUUCUUUCUUUAUUACGCCUCUUGUG
rnacentral:lncRNA from 1 species